UAGAAUUCCAGGUGUAGCGGUGAAAUGCGUAGAGAUCUGGAGGAAUACCGAUGGCGAAGGCAGCCAUCUGGCCUAACACUGACGCUGAGGUGCGAAAGCAUGGGGAGCAAACAGGAUUAGAUACCCUGGUAGUCCAUGCCGUAAACGAUGUCUACUAGCCGUUGGGGCCUUUGAGGCUUUAGUGGCGCAGCUAACGCGAUAAGUAGACCGCCUGGGGAGUACGGUCGCAAGACUAAAACUCAAAUGAAUUGACGGGGGCCCGCACAAGCGGUGGAGCAUGUGGUUUAAUUCGAUGCAACGCGAAGAACCUUACCUGGCCUUGACAUAGUAAGAACUUUCCAGAGAUGGAUUGGUGCCUUCGGGAACUUACAUACAGGUGCUGCAUGGCUGUCGNCAGCUCGUGUCGUGAGAUGUUGGGUUAAGUCCCGCAACGAGCGCAACCCUUUUCCUUAUUUGCCAGCGAGUAAUGUCGGGAACUUUAAGGAUACUGCCAGUGACAAACUGGAGGAAGGCGGGGACGACGUCAAGUCAUCAUGGCCCUUACGGCCAGGGCUACACACGUGCUACAAUGGUCGGUACAAAGGGUUGCUACCUAGCGAUAGGAUGCUAAUCUCAAAAAGCCGAUCGUAGUCCGGAUUGGAGUCUGCAACNNGACUCCAUGAAGUCGGAAUCGCUANNAAUCGCGGAUCAGAAUGCCGCGGUGANNACGUUCCC
rnacentral:rRNA from 1 species